UCCGUAGGGUGCGAGCGUUGUCCGGAAUUAUUGGGCGUAAAGAGCUCGUAGGCGGUCUGUCGCGUCGGUCGUGAAAACCUGCAGCUUAACUGUGGGCGUGCGGUCGAUACGGGCAUGACUGGAGUUCGGCAGGGGAGACUGGAAUUCCUGGUGUAGCGGUGAAAUGCGCAGAUAUCAGGAGGAACACCGGUGGCGAAGGCGGGUCUCUGGGCCGAUACUGACGCUGAGGAGCGAAAGCGUGGGGAGCGAACAGG
rnacentral:rRNA from 1 species